ACAAAUAUAUACAUAUAUAUUGUAAUUCACAUUGUUUUUCGUUUAGUGUUCUUUGUGUGUUCUACACCUCAUUUUGUGGAGGGAAUGUUUGCCUUUAGAAACGUUUCACAAUUUUGGAUUAUCCAACACUUUUUGUUCCAGAUGGUUUCUCUCUCUGUCUCUCUCUCUCUCUCUCUAGAACUUAUCACUUUUGUUCUUAAAAACUUUUGAUCAUUCAUACCAACCUCUUGAAUGUGGAAAAGGGUAAGAUUUGUAUUUUUGAAUGCUCUUGUAAUCAAACCAAGAAGUUUUAAGUUUUUGGCAGUUUGAAUACGUGAUUUUGAUCCUUUUCUUUCAUCAGUGGUAAGCCGAAAGAAACCAUUUUUUUGUUUUUCAUUGAGUGCAGUUUUGGACUACUUAUGAUUCCAUCUCUCUUUUUCUUUCCUCGCAAAACAACCCACCUAUAUAUAUAUAUAUAGAUAUAUCUAUAUGUCUGUAUAUCUAAACAAUCUAACCAUAGUGCUCCAAAAUUUGAUAAGUUGCUCUGCUUUCUCCAGUUGUCAUCACCUUCUUUUUGUAAAACUGUCAUAAGUGCUUCCAAUAAAAGCACUGCACAAACCAAGUCAUUUCCAACCAAAUAAUUCUCACACAUCCAAUUCUGUUUCUAGUGCAACACAAGAAUUUCAGACAAAUUUCACAGCAAUGGAAAGAUUGAACUCAAAGCUGUACUUGCAGAACUGCUACAUAAUGAAAGAGAAUGAGAGGCUGAAGAAGAAGGCACAGCUGCUGAACCAGGAGAAUCAAGCCUUGCUUUCUGAGCUUCAGCAGAAGCUGUCCAAAAGUACUUCUUCAAAAGCCAAAGCCAAUGCAGCAGCUGGAAAUACACUUCCUGACCUCAACCUCAGCUCUUCCUCCACCCCAAAUGCUAAUGGUUCCACCAACUGAUGAUCUGAUAAAAUUUGUUAAAAUUAAGUAAAGAUGUGAUGACCCCACUAGGAGGAAGAGGAGGAGGAUUUAACUUUUGUUUUUGUUUAAUAUCUUUAGCAACAGUGGUAGUUCCAGUUUUAGAUACAAAAUAGGACAAGAUGAAGUUGUAGUGUUUAUCUUUUGUACCACCAAGGAUGCCUCUGCUUCUUCUACUUCCAUAUCUUCUAUCAGUAAUUUUUCUUUUUUGGGGUGGUUAUUAAAAAUUUCUGUACUACAAGGAUGUAUCAAGCUAUCUAGCAAUCAAUAUAAAUAUUAUUUUAUC